rnacentral:rRNA from 1 species
UACGUAGGGAGCUAGCGUUGUUCGGAAUCACUGGGCGUAAAGCGCUCGUAGGCGGUUGUGUCAGUCAGGGGUGAAAUCCCGGAGCUCAACUUCGGAACUGCCUUUGAUACAGCACGUCUUGAGUCCGAUAGAGGUGGGUGGAAUUCCUAGUGUAGAGGUGAAAUUCGUAGAUAUUAGGAAGAACACCGGUGGCGAAGGCGGCCCACUGGAUCGGUACUGACGCUGAGGUGCGAAAGCGUGGGGAGCAAACAGG